UUACCCGUUGCAAGGAAGCCAGAUGCCGUA
rnacentral:piRNA from 1 species